rnacentral:tRNA from 1 species
GUGGCUGAGUAGUAAAGCGCUUGCUUUCCGAACCAGGAUCCCAGGUUCAAAUCCUGGC